rnacentral:tRNA from 1 species
GCCGACGUGGCGGAACUGGCAGACGCGCCGGACUCAAAAUCCGGUGACCGCAAGGUCGUGUGGGUUCGACCCCCUCCGUCGGCA